rnacentral:rRNA from 1 species
UACGUAGGGUGCGAGCGUUAAUCGGAAUUACUGGGCGUAAAGCGUGCGCAGGCGGUUUUGUAAGCCAGAUGUGAAAUCCCCGAGCUUAACUUGGGAAUUGCGCUCGAAACUACGUGGCUCGAGUGUGGCAGAGGAAGGUGGAAUUCCACGUGUAGCGGUGAAAAUGCGUAGAGAUGUGGAGGAACACCGAUGGCGAAGGCAGCCUUCUGGGCCAACACUGACGCUCAUGCACGAAAGCGUGGGGAGCAAACAGG